CAAGGACCUUGAUCAAAAAUUGAAAAGGAAUAGGAUUUUAAUCAAUGGAGUAGCAAAAUGAAGGAUGAGAACCUAAUUUCUCCUUUUUCUUUAUGUAUGUAUGCAGGUUGGUGAGGAGUUGGUCUUUGAGGCAGUGUAGUUUUGGAGAAAGCUGAAAAUUUUAACCCUAAACAGGUUAUUAGGUAACACAAUUUUUGUAGUGUGUAGAAUGUAGAAAGUGCUAGCAUGUAAACUGAAAUCGUGGAUUUGCCAAUAAUGACAAUUUAAAUUAAUCCAAUUGGUUGGUCCAGUUAGGUCUCUCUUUCUCUCUCUAAUUAAAUUUUAAUUUUGAGUAUAAGCUGUAUCGGUAUUUUACACUAUUCUACAAUAUCGGUGUUUUAUUUUAAUUUUAAGUAUCAAAUACAAUCAUGGCUACAAUCAUGACGUGCACAAAUCAUUUUUUAGAAAAAUAUAUGCUUCAAUCUCACCACCAACGAGUUGAUCUUCGCUUAGUAGAGCUACUGGCCACCCCCACACUAGGAUUAAAAUUCACUUAUGCUCAUAAGUGCUUUUACUAAAAGCUCUUCCAAAAUACUGCCAAACAAGCCAUGUAGAACUAUUAGAAAUGUAAAAAAUGUUCACUUUUUCAUUUACAUUACCUUAUUUUUAAGCCAACAAAUUGUAAAUUAUUGAGAAAGACAAGCUCAAAGAGAAAAACGUGACGCUCCCGACAAACCAUUUUCCGUUACUUAUGUGUGGGGUCAAAGGUGUGGAUAGGGGCAUAUGAAAACGUAACCCUCAUCUUGUUUCAACUUUUCUACAAUGCAAGUGAAAAUAAAUAUUACUUAACUGUAACACUAUGUAACAUUUUAAUUUAAAAUUUUGUUUUAGUUAUUUUAUUAUCAUUCCAACUUAUGUCAAUUCUUGCAAUGGAGUUGUGGACAUUGCCACAUGUAACUCGAACAACUCAAAAACAUAAUGCAUUGUGGGAACACGUUUAUGUUGAGGACUUGUUGGAAAAAACAAGAAAUCUACAUAACAGUCAUUUGAUUUUUACCAAAUAUGAAUGUUCGUUAUGCCUCACCAAUCAAUCAAGAAAGAAAAGAUGAGUAAAACCUUGUUACAUUGAUGUAGUGUCAACUAAUGAUAUUUCAAGCUAUAAGAUUCUGGAUCAUCUCUUGUGACCGAAUUAUUUCUCCACUGAAACUUGAAACGUUUAGCAGUCUUUGGGCAUGGUACAGCAUGCAUGAUACGCUAGCCUGUCAACAAGGCUUCCUCUGGUGACCUGAACACAGAGCUCUGAAUUGCCUCAUUACAUUCGACAGAGAUGAAGGUGUAGAAAAUCAAACUUUUAAACUUUUUUCAACAAUAAACUAGAAAUAUCACUUAAAUUAAAAGCUAGUCGCUCAAUAACUGUUUUUGAUGUCAAGUAGUUCUAUUAGGAGAUAUUUUUAGUGUGUUGGAACACAGACGCAUGCGCCAUAUAUCAUUAUAAAAGUGAAGAAACACGUGAACAAAAUAUUCUCUCUACUUAUAUAGUCACAUAUAAUGUACCACCCGUGUUCCACUUAUAUUCCCUCCUACAAAAUAAUCUUAAACCACGUGUGGACGGUGAAAACCAAUCUGCAAAUAAAACCUACAUUAUUAAAUAAUUGUAUUUUCCUGCGGUCUUCGACUGCGUGAUUCAUCUAUUUACUUAUUUAUUUAUGGUGAGAAGAAAUCCAAAAUGGUCCAAACACUUAAUUUUCAAUUUUGUUAAGGCUUUUUAAACAAAAUGGUCACUGAGAUUUGCAUAACAUAUCACUUUUGUCCUUGAGAUUGAAAAUUAAUAGAAAUGGUCCCUGAGAUUGUCCACCAUCCAUUAUUUUGGUUAUUCCGUUAAAAACUCGGUUAAGUGUCCCAGAGCUCUUAGCCGCAAGUUUGGCAAUUUUCAAAGCUUCGUAAAUCAAUCGUUUAUUAACCAAAUUUGACCCAUAAUAUAUCAAAAUGGAGAUGAGAAAGUAGAGAACAAGAUUAUACCUAUUUGGAAGUCUAAUGGUUGCUGGAGAUAGCCGGAAAAUAGCCUGAAAGAUGACUGGUACACGGAAAAACUGGAAAACUCGCCGGAAACUGGGUAAACUUUAAAUAUGUUUAACUUCUUCAAUACUUAAUGAAAUCGAGUGAUUAAAAAAUGCCUCGAAAGUGGCUAACUCAAGACAAAAACAGCCACUUUUGAGCCAUUUUCUAGCCAUUUUCUAGCCAAACCACGACGAUUUAGCUAUUGAUAAAUGUAUCAUUCUCUUCGUCUCGUCGAGAAGUAUGAUUUU
rnacentral:lncRNA from 1 species